rnacentral:rRNA from 1 species
AUUGAACGCUGGCGGCAGGCCUAACACAUGCAAGUCGAGCGGAUGAAGGGAGCUUUCUCCUGUCUUCAGCUGCGGACGGGUGAGUAAUUCCUAGGAAUCUGCCUUGUCUUUGGGGAUAACGUCCCUAAACGGGCGCUAAUACCGCAUCCGUCCUUAUUUUGAACGUGGUGGAUCUUCGGACUUCACGCUUUCUGCUGACCCUAGGUCGGAUUAGCUAGUUGGUUGGGUAAAGGCCUACCAAGGCGACGAUCCGUAACUGGUCUGAGAGGAUGAUCAGUCACACUGGAACUGAGACACGGUCCAGACUCCUACGGGAGGCAGCAGUGGGGAAUAUUGGACAAUGGGCGAAAGCCUGAUCCAGCCAUGCCGCGUGUGUGAAGAAGGUCUUCGGAUUGUAAAGCACUGUAAGUAGGGAGGAAGGGAAGUAAGUUAAUACCUUGAUGUUUUGACGUUACCAAAAGAAUAAGCAACGGCUAACUUCGUG